rnacentral:rRNA from 1 species
CCUACGGGAGGCAGCAGUGGGGAAUAUUGGACAAUGGGGGGAACCCUGAUCCAGCGACGCCGCGUGAGUGAAGAAGUAUUUCGGUAUGUAAAGCUCUAUCAGCAGGGAAGAAAGAAAUGACGGUACCUGACUAAGAAGCCCCGGCUAACUACGUGCCAGCAGCCGCGGUAAUACGUAGGGGGCAAGCGUUAUCCGGAUUUACUGGGUGUAAAGGGAGCGUAGACGGCGAUGCAAGUCUGAAGUGAAAGGCGGGGGCCCAACCCCCGGACUGCUUUGGAAACUGUAUGGCUGGAGUGCGGGAGAGGUAAGUGGAAUUCCUAGUGUAGCGGUGAAAUGCGUAGAUAUUAGGAGGAACACCAGUGGCGAAGGCGGCUUACUGGACUGUAACUGACGUUGAGGCUCGAAAGCGUGGGGAGCAAACAGGAUUAGAUACCCUGGUAGUC